rnacentral:ribozyme from 1 species
AUAUAUAGAGGGGGAAGGAGAGGAGGGAGGAAUAAAAGAGACAAGGUAUUUAGUUGGACUGUUUUUGUUUUAUUCGUUUCAUUCUUGUUUUUGUUUUCAUUUUUCAUCUUCAUCCGUGUCUUUUAAAAUUCGGAUCGUUUUUACGGACUCAUUCAUCAAGGAUCGAGGCCGUUUCGAAAAAACAUCGGGGGACCAUUCCAUUUUAUGUUCACAUACACCACCAAAUUAUGCACACAAAAAUAUCAAAUACUUGAAAAUCCAUUGUUAAAUGU